rnacentral:rRNA from 1 species
UACGUAGGAUGCGAGCGUUGUCCGGAAUUAUUGGGCGUAAAGAGAACGUAGGUGGUUUCCUAAGUUCGGUCUUAAAGACCGGGGCUCAACCCCGGGAAUGGAUUGAAAACUGGGAGACUCGAGGACGUCAGAGGAAGGUGGAAUUCCCAGUGUAGCGGUGAAAUGCGUAGAUAUUGGGAGGAACACCAGUGGCGAAAGCGACCUUCUGGGACGUUCCUGACACUGAGGUUCGAAAGCUCGGGGAGCAAACAGG